rnacentral:tRNA from 1 species
UAUUUUAUAAUGUAUGAUGCAUAAAGAUUUUUGAAAUCUUUAGAAAUAGUUUAAUUCUAUUUAAAAUAA